GACGAACGCUGGCGGCGUGCUUAACACAUGCAAGUCGAGCGGUAAGGCCCUUUCGGGGGUACACGAGCGGCGAACGGGUGAGUAACACGUGGGUGACCUGCCCUCAGCUCUGGGAUAAGCCUGGGAAACCGGGUCUAAUACCGGAUAUGACUCCAUGACGCAUGUUGUGGGGUGGAAAGCCUUGUGCGGCUGAGGAUGGGCCCGCGGCCUAUCAGCUUGUUGGUGGGGUGANGGCCUACCAAGGCGACGACGGGUAGCCGGCCUGAGAGGGCGACCGGCCACACUGGGACUAAGACACGGCCCAGACUCCUACGGGAGGCAGCAGUGGGGAAUCUUGCGCAAUGGGCGAAAGCCUGACGCAGCGACGCCGCGUGAGGG
rnacentral:rRNA from 1 species